UUAUACCUUGCCAACUUCACAACUCUUUGCUCUCAUUUUGUUGACCUGUGACUCAGAUGUCGGCACGCUCCUGAGCUUCCUCCAGCUCAUGCUGCACCUUCCUGUACCUGGACAGACCCCUGUGAUAGCAUCCAUGUCUCUGUUCAGCGUCAACUACACCUUCCAGCUCACGGACCUGAAAUAGAAGACUUGUGUGUUUUGUUCUCAGAUUCUCAGCCUCAUCCAGACUGUGCUGCAGGUCCUUCACUGUGACCUCCAGGUUCUUCUUCAUCCUCUCCAGGUGAGAGCUGGUGUCCUGCUCCUUCUUCUUCAGGCUGGAUUACUGCGAAAUGAAAGUAUUGUCCUUAAUGUGCACAUAAUUAUAGCACUGGCGAUGUUUGGCUCCAAACAUGGCGUUGUUACACAAACAUGUUGGUGAAACUUGAUUGUGCUGACAAAUAAUGAGACAUUAAUGGCCAAGACGGCUAUCCUAGUCUACGUAUAGUUAUGUAAUGUCUGUAGACUCACAUCAGUAAUAGCCUUCUUGGCCUUCUCCUCUGCAUUUCUUGCUUCCUGGACAGUGUCUUCCAUUUCACCUUGGACCUGAGUAAGGUCAACCUCCAGCUUCUUCUUGGUGUUGAUGAGGCUUAUGUUCUAAACAAGUUAUGAUACUGUGCUUAUGUUAAAAGUAAUACAUGGGAAGCACAUCUUUAAUUGGGCAUUUUGUAGACUUUACCUGGGAGUGCAGCAGUCCCACACGCUCACUGGCAUCAACCAGCUCCUGUUCGGCCACUUUGCAGCCUCUCUCUGUCUGCUCCAGUGCAGCCCUCAGUUCUUCAAUCUCAGCCAUCAUCAGGUUAUUCCUACGCCAUGAUAAACUAAAGUGUACCUUGAACGCUCCCUGAAAGUUCCUCAUCUGUUUCUGGCGUGCAGCUUCCUGGCGGUUGGCAUGGCUCAACUGAUUCUCCAUCUCAUUGAUGUCCAAGUUCUAGCCCACGAACUUGGACUUGGUUAUGCAGCCCUAAAGAAAAUAAGCAAAAUCCUAGGGAUUCCUGCCUUGCUUCUCAGCUCAUAUCAGAGACAUGACAGGAGAAUGACCGUUAAAUAAAAAUGGAGAGUAGCCCAUUAUUGUCAGGUGACUUGCUGUGUAAAAUAAUAUGUAUUUCCUUGCUCCAUGAAAUGUAUUCAAUGUUAACAAAACAGAGUGAUAGGAAACCAUAACUAUACCAUGAGACUGUCACAUAGGCCUACAGUGUCAUAGGGCUGUAGCCUAAUGCGAUUAGCGAGAAAUUAGCUUUACAUUAAGUAAAUACAAUGCUGAUAUGCUAAUAUUUACAUAGUGUAACAUGCUGAUAUUUAGUCCUGCAGUUUUGUCUGUAAUGUCGACAGACAUAAUAAG